GGGAUUCAAUAUGUAGGCGGGCUGGACCUCUCGGGGUUACAGCCUUGCUGAAUUAUUCACCCUUGUCUUUUGCGUACUUCUUGUUUCCUUGGUGGGUUCGCCCACCACUAGGACAAACAUAAACCUUUUGUAAUUGCAAUCAGCGUCAGUAACAAAUUAAUAAUUACAACUUUCAACAACGGAUCUCUUGGUUCUGGCAUCGAUGAAGAACGCAGCGAAAUGCGAUAAGUAGUGUGAAUUGCAGAAUUCAGUGAAUCAUCGAAUCUUUGAACGCACAUUGCGCCCUUUGGUAUUCCAAAGGGCAUGCCUGUUCGAGCGUCAUUUGUACCCUCAAGCUUUGCUUGGUGUUGGGCGUCUUGUCUCUAGCUUUGCUGGAGACUCGCCUUAAAGUAAUUGGCAGCCGGCCUACUGGUUUCGGAGCGCAGCACAAGUCGCACUCUCUAUCAGCAAAGGUCUAGCAUCCAUUAAGCCUUUUUUUCAACUUUUGACCUCGGAUCAGGUAGGGAUACCCGCUGAACUUAAGCAUAUCAAUAAGCCGGAGGAA
rnacentral:rRNA from 3 species